CAGAGGGUGCAAGCGUUAUUCGAAAUUAUUGGGCGUAAAGCGCGCGUAGGUGGUGAGGCAAGUCCUGUGUGAAAUCCUCGGGCUCAACCCGAGAAAGUCAUGGGAAACUACUUCGCUAGAGUAUAAGAGGGGAGAGCGGAAUUCCCAGUGUAGAGGUGAAAUUCGUAGAUAUUGGGAGGAACACCGGUGGCGAAAGCGGCUCUCUGGCUUAUCACUGACACUCUGGCGCGAAAGCGUGGGUAUCAAACAGGAUUAGAUACCCUGGUAGUCCACGCUGUAAACGAUGUGAACUAGGUGUUGGGAGGGUAAAACCUUUUAGUACCGGAGCUAACGCGUGAAGUUGACCGCCUGGGGAGUACGGCCGCAAGGUUA
rnacentral:rRNA from 1 species